rnacentral:rRNA from 1 species
AGCCCUUGACAUCCUCGGAAUCCAGCGGAGACGUUGGAGUGCCUUCGGGAGCCGAGUGACAGGUGCUGCAUGGCUGUCGUCAGCUCGUGUCGUGAGAUGUUGGAUUAAGUUCCGCAACGAGCGCAACCCUUACGUUUAGUUGCCAGCAUUAAGUUGGGGACUCUAGGCGGACUGCCAGUGUAUAACUGGAGGAAGGUGGGGACGACGUCAAGUCAGCAUGCCCCUUAUGCCCAGGGCUACACACGUGCUACAAUGGCCGGUACAACGGGUCGCCACACAGCGAUGUGGAGCUAAUCCCUUAAAACCGGCCUCAGUUCGGAUUGGAGGCUGCAACUCGCCUCCAUGAAGUCGGAAUCGCUA